rnacentral:lncRNA from 1 species
CUAGAUGUGAUUCCGACUAGUGGGUGACCUUAGAUUAUGUGCACAGAUGAUUGAUGAGAGAAGCACUAGAGCGUAUUAUUACACCAUCCAUGUCGUACAGACUACUUCAGGUAGUUCCGACUUAUCUGCAGUGUAGUGCCGUACAGGUCAUCGAGGUGACUCCGGUUGGAUUGGAUGUUGAGCUAUGGAAUUAACCGUACAGGACCAACUGCAGGGUCUCCGGUUAAUUCAACUUUUCACCUGUUACAUUGAUGCAUCAUUUAUUUUGUUUUCUAAAUUAAAAACAUGGCAUACUUUCGAGUUUUAAAGAAAAAUUGAUGAUUCGAGAUUUAUGAAAAGUAUUAUGUUAUUAUAUUAUUUUCUGGGAAAAGUAUACAGGUUUUACAGUGAGGGGUUAGAAUUAUUUUUUUUGGCGAAAUGUUUUUGAAAAGCUUGGUUUUACUGACCCACUCAAUUUUGUUUUUCGCCCCUCCAGGUUCUUGAUAGCAGAGUUUUGGUGGCCACGAGGAAUCCAACGGUAUUCUGACAGAAUUCACAAAAGUAGGACUCACCCUCGAGGGUUUCCAUUUUAAUAAUUGUAUUUUAAAAGCUUCCGAACUGUGUAAAUGGUUACGUCACUCUCAUGUGACGGCCAGCAUGCCCUCCUUCGGGACGGGGUGUGUCAGUUGGUAUCAGAGCCUAGGUUUCAAUCUUGGACAUCUUUAGAAUUUCCUAGUGUCUUCUGUCAGAACUGUACCGCCUCGUAACGAGCCACGUAGUUGGGAUGAGUUUAGUUUCCCGGAUAUAGUAGCUUAGGGGGGGGAAACUAUUGCUAAUAUAAUCCAGUCUAUUAUCUAAGAAACCCUUUGAGACUGGUUAUAAGUUGAAUUUGAAUCACUUUAUGGAAAUUAUGAACCUGAGGGAGCAGAGUGUUGGCUUACUCACUUGGAAAAGACGUUUUGGGUUAUGCAAGUCAAAAGAAUCUUCCUUCUGACAGGUAGGUCGAGACGACUACCUGGUUAUGGGUUAUGAAUUUGUAUUCUGGUGGAAACAGGAGUAUUAUUCGUUGUCACCGGAGGAAACAGCUGAUUGAGAAUUAUUUAAGGAAUUGUUAAAGAAAAGAUUUAUUCCUCCGGUAUAUUUUGAUGGUAGUAAGCAAGAGUUUGCAAAGGUGAAACAAGGAAGAUGACGACAAAUGAGUAUUAUAGAAAGUUUUUAGACUUGCCUCGUUUCCAUUUGGAUAUUGUUGCUAAGUUGGUUGAAGUGUUAUGUUGUUUUAGGCUGGAUAAUAAGAAGAAGUGACGUUCUUUGGCGACCACUAUCUAUUGUACUAUCUAUCAAGAGUUUACGAGAUGUUGUUGAGGGUUGAGGACUCUGAGAAUAUGAUCAGCGUGAGUAAAGAAGAAUAAGAAAAGAAUGGUGAUUAGAGGAAAGACGAUGAGUUUAAAGAAUCGUCAUAUCAAGGACAUCGAAAGACUCAGAGCUUCAAAAGAAGUGAAGUUAGAACUAAUUCUUCCAGCUUAGGUUUAAUGCCACUGGUCAGAGGCGAAGUGAUAGAUUUACUGGUGAUCCCGGAUCUUAAAGACAAGGUGACUCGAGUAAGGAAAAUGUACCUUUGUGCCAUAGGUACAAUAUUAGACACUUUGGAAAGUGUGGGGAUCAGUGAAUUUGUUCAUGUGGACGGAUGGGACAUAGAGUUAUGAAUGGUCCCUAGAAUCAGUUAUUACCCAGCAGUCUUCCCUGACACCACAAUAUCGAUCCAGCAGGUUUAUGGACUUAAUAGUUUGGUCAGAUGGGCCGUGAGUACAGGGAUAUUUGAUGAGUUAUAAGUCCAGCCGUACAGGCCACAAGAGGUGGAUCCGGCGAACAUAUUAUUUGGAAAAUUGAGGAGUAAGCCGUACAGGUCAUUCUAGCUGACUCCGGCUGAUAUAUUUCUUAUUAUGGACGAUGUUGCCAAAGAGAGUAAUGUUGGAGCACGAUCGAGGCGUAUUUAUGUAUUUCUAAUGAAGAACAAGAUGAUAAUAUUACACCUUCAGGGUGUCUAGUGAUGGUGGAAGAAGUAGUUAUGCUAGUGAAUCUUGUCGUAUUAGACAUUGUGGAUUUCGAUGUGAUUUUAAGCACAGAUUGGUUAGGUUAUAAUCUUGCCAAUAUGGAUUAUCAGAGGUUACUUUUAUGGGUAUGCAAAGUGGAUUGAGUUAGGCCGUUAUUUAUGCUGUGAGAGCAAAGAGAUUGUUAUCAAAAAGCUGCCAAGGAUACUUAACUCAUAGGGUGCUAAAUGAUGUUGCUUCUAAUGGUAUGAGAGAUGUAAGGCGGUUAGACAUUUUCUUGAUGUUUUCCCUGAGGAAUUACCUGGAUUGCCGUUAGGCGGAGAUAUGGAGUUCACUAUUGAUUUGUCUCCAGGCACAAAUUUUAUGUUAAAGAUUGGUUCAUGAUGAGUUAAGGGAAUUGAAAAUUCAGUUACAGGAAUUGGUUGACAAAGGUAUCAUUUAAAGUACAUCACGUUGGGGGGAGCACUAGUUUUUUUUUGGUGAGGAAGAAAAUGGACAUUAAGGCUAUGUUUUAAUUAUAAGUAAUUGAAUCGGGUAAUGAUCAAGAACCGUUAUCCAUUGUUGCGUAUUGAUGAUUUAUUGAUCAACUUAGAGGUCUGCGUAUUUCCUAAGAUUGACUUAAGGUUUGGUUGUUACCGAUUGAAGAGUUAAUGAUAACGUUUCUACGAUUGUGUUCAGGACUCGUUACGGUCAUUAUGAGUUUCGUGAUGCUAUUCGAAUUGACGGAUUCUCCUGCUGUUUUAUAAGUUGAUGGAUGAAGUUUUCCAAGAAUAUCUUGACAGGUUCGUUAUUGUUUUCAUUGACGAUACUCUGGGAUACUCUAAGCCGAGAGCAGAGCAUGUUAGAUAUUUAAGUUGAUGUUACAAAGAUUGAAGGAACGUUGAUUGUAUGCUAAGUUUAGCAAAUGUCAAUGUUGUAUGAAUCAACAACAAUUAUAAAAUGCGUUAUAUAUGCUUAAGGUAUUCAAGCGAAAUUUUAAAAGGUAGCAGCGAUUGAGAAUUUGGAACAACCGCGAACCGUGGCUGAAGUUUGGAAUUUUCUUGGCUUAGCAGGGUGUUAUAGAUGGUUUGUUGAAGGUUUUAAUGAUGCUUCUUUGAGUGGUGUUGGAUGUGUUAAAAGUGGAAGUGUUAAGGUAAUUGUCUAUGCUCCGCGACAAAUGGAAACCUCAUGAGAUAAAUUACUCUACUCGUGAUUUGGAAUUAACAACUAUCAUCUUUGCUGGGAAGAUUGGGAGACAUUAUCUUUAUGAAGAAAAGUGUAAGAUUUCUACGAAUCAUGAGAGUCUCCAAUAUCUGUUUACUCAGAUGAAUCUAAUCUUAGGCAACGAAGAUGGAUUGGGUUGCUUAGUGAUUAUGAUUGCACGACCAGGGUGAUCUUGAAAUUUUUGCGACCAAAGCACUUGGUAGGAAAGCUCCAGUAAGAAUUGAUGCUUUGUAUACUUGUUAUGUUUUCCUUCUUGCGGAUUUGAGACCUACUGGGAUGAAGCUUAAGGUAAAAGUUAAGAAGAAGUUUUAUUGGCUAAUUUUCAAGUUAGGCUGAUUUUAGUUGAUUGUCUACUUGACGCCUAGAAAAGUGAGGAAGGAAAUUUUGGAUGAAGCGCAUUGUUCAGCUUAUGCGAUGCACCCGGGAGGAACUAAAAUGUAUCAUACCAUUCGACCAUUUUAUUAUUGGCCUGGUAUGAAAAGAGAAAUUGCUGAGUAUGUGAGUAGAUGUAUUAUUUGCCAGCAAGUGAAGGCAGAAAGAAAGAAACCUUUUGGUCGGAUGCGGCCACUUCCCGUUCCUCAGUGGAAAUGGGAAAAUAUCACUAUGGAUUCUGUGUAUAAGCUUCCACGUACACAGAAUGGAUUUGAUAGCGUUUGGGUGGUUGUAGAUCGGCUUACCAAGCCAGCACACUCCAUUUCAGUGGGAGAAAAGUAUCAUUUGAAUAAAUUGGCUAAGUUGUUCAUCACAAAGAUUGUGAGGUAUCAUGGAGUUCCAGUAAAUAUUAUCUCUGAUCGAGACCCGAGAUUUACUUCUAAAUUCUGGGUGGCUUUUCAGGAAGCUCUGGGUACACAAUUACUGUAUAGCAUAGCUUAUCAUCCUCAAACUGAUGGGCAAUCAGAGAGAACCAUUCAGACGUUGGAAGAUAUGUUGAGAUCUUCAGUAUUACAAUUUGGUGAUUCCUGGCAUGAUCGUCUGGACUUGAUGGAGUUUGCUUAUAAUAACAGUUUUCACUCGAGCAUUGGUAUGUCACCAUUUGAGGCACUUUAUGGUAGGGCGUGUCGAACGCCAUUAUGUUGGUCUGAGGUUGGUGAAAGGGUAUUAGAAGGCCCAGAGAUUGUAGAUGAGACAACUCAAAAUGUUCAGGUAAUUAAGUCAAACCUGAAAGCAGCCCAGGAUCGACAGAAGAGUUUAGCGGAUCGGCAUACUACUGAUCGAGUAUAUAAUGUGGGUGAUUGGGUGUUUUUGAAAUUGUCACCUUGGAGAAGUGUGGUACGAUUUGGGAAAAGAGGAACGCUAAGUCUAAGAUACAUUGGACCUUACGUGAUCAUCGAAAGAGUUGGUGAAGUUGCCUACCGGUUGGAGUUGCCUCCGGAGUUAUCUAAGGUCCACAAUGUGUUUCACGUCUCUAUGCUUCGACAUUAUAUUUCUGAUCCUUCUCAUGUGAUCCCUCCUCAACCGCUAGAGAUUAAUCCGGACUUGACUUAUGAUGAGGAACCAAUCACGAUUUUGGAUUGGAAAGAUAAGGUUCCAAGGAACAAAACGGUUAGUUUGGUGAAGGUGUUGUGGAAGAACCAUUCUGUUGAGGAAGCUACCUGGGAGACGGAAGAUCGGAUGAGAGAGAUAUACCCAAGGUUAUUUUAUGGGCAUUAAGUGCGUUAUUUGGUUCUGGGAAUUUCGGGGACGAAAUUCUAUAAGGAGGGGAGAUUGUCACAGCCCGUCCCGGGAUUUUUAUAUCUGGGACGUGAAUUGACGUAAUUACCCUUGGCGGGCAUUAAGGUACGUGUGUGUGUGACAUUAUUUGAAUUAAUUUUGUAAGUUUUGGGAUUAAACUUUUGGAAUUUGAAUUUUUGUGGUUAGGGAUUUGGAUGGAUGGUGAGGAUUGUGUUGGGCCACACAAUCACACACACACGCACUCCCUGUCUUCUCUCCCUCUCGUAGCACUCUCUGUCUCUCUCCCUCGACCUCACACACACCCACACCCAAUGUGUACGGCACACACCCAAACCCUCCAAAAACUCGACGGAUCGAGGCAACCAAGGUAUGCAUCUUCAUCCUUUCGACGUUCUGAGUUCAUUAGUACUAGUUUUAGGAAGUGAAACCCUCGAAAUCACGGGAAACCCGAACCUCCAUUUUUGAGUUACUGUUCAUGCACACACGUAAAAUGUCGUGUUUCAGGGAAUUCUAAGCUUGUAGUGAGCUUAGUAAAGUCCUAAGGAGGCUCGGAGUACUUCGUUUGAAGGAUUUGGACGUCGGGAUCACGUGGUUCCAUUUUGGCCGAAUUUCUUGGGAAUUUUCCGGUGAGAUUUCUUGAUUUUUAGAGCCUUAAAUUAGUCUAUCGUGAUUCUACAUGUUUGGGGCUUCAAUUUGAUAUAAAAUACGAAGAAAAUGGGUGAAAAACGAAGGAGAACAAAAGGUUUUAAAAUUGGCCGGAAAACGGUCGCCGGAAAAUCCAGUCCGGCGACCCAAGGAAGAAGAAGGGCGCGUGGGGGCGCGUAGGCCCGUGCCACGUGCGGCGCGUGGGGGCGCGUGGCACAUAAAAAAAAUAAUCUAAAAAUAUGUCGACGUUCGUGACGUCGAGUAGAUCACUGUGGUAUAUUCAUAUACCCAAAUUGAGCACCGUAUGAGAAAGUUAUUACGAUUAUUGGUUAGGUGCUUUAAAUAACGUUUUAUAGUUUUCGCAUUUAGGUGAAAAUGUGAAUUGACAAUCCGACCGUUGGAUCGUCACCAAACUCUGAUACGUUGUAAUACGUAAUAUUUGAGGAUUAUUGGAACUUACGGAUUGGGAAUCCGAGUUACGGAUCUUCCGGAAUUGGAGUUGUAAGUUCAUAAAAUAAAAUGUUAACCGUCACUUAGUUUUGGAAAUUGACGGAGAUCCGACCGUUGGAUGGUAAUGAAAUUUCAGGAUGUUGUCCUAGAGAUAUAUUGUGGGCCUCUGGAAGUUAUGGAUUUAAAAUCUGAGUUGCAGAUCUUUCGGAUCGAACUGCGUAGUGAUGUGUUUUUAUAUAAGUUAUAUUCUAUCGAUAUGAUUUCUGAGGUUGGAUUUGAUUAUUGUUCUAGGCGGCGAUCGUCAUGACGCCUUGAUGAGUUGUGCUAGGGAGUUGUAGGGCGAACUCCAGGUGAGUGGGCAGUUUUGUUUUCGUAUUACCUAUAUACUAUUGAGUUUUCCCAGAAAUUGAAUUUAAAUGAAAGCAUGAUUUAAAAUGCCAUGGAUAGAUUUAUAUGAAAAGUAUGAUUUGAAAUGCCAUGCAUAGAAGUAUAUGAAAAGCAUGAAUUGAUAUAUGAUGCAUAUAUAUAUGUGAAUUGGUACUGUGGACGCACAAGUAAGUAUCAGGUGAGUUUUAUAUUAUUCAUGUGCAUUGUUGAUGUGUAUAUUGUGGAUAGCUCAUAACCUGCAAUCAUGGUGUUAGUGCUUAUAUUAUUCACCACACCGCACGCUCGCCUUGGAUCCAAGUAGGUGGAUGUCGUACAGACCAAGUGAGGGUUCCGACAUGCUAGUCGUAUAGAUUACUAGAUGUGAUUCCGACUAGUGGGUGACCUUAGAUUAUGUGCACAGAUGAUUGAUGAGAGAAGCACUAGAGCGUAUUAUUACACCAUCCAUGUCGUACAGACUACUUCAGGUAGUUCCGACUUAUCUGCAGUGUAGUGCCGUACAGGUCAUCGAGGUGACUCCGGUUGGAUUGGAUGUUGAGCUAUGGAAUUAACCGUACAGGACCAACUGCAGGGUCUCCGGUUAAUUCAACUUUUCACCUGUUACAUUGAUGCAUCAUUUAUUUUGUUUUCUAAAUUAAAACAUGGCAUACUUUCGAGUUUUAAAGAAAAAUUGAUGAUUCGAGAUUUAUGAAAAGUAUUAUGUUAUUAUAUUAUUUUCUGGGAAAAGUAUACAGGUUUUACAGUGAGGGGUUAGAAUUAUUUUUGGCGAAAUGUUUUUGAAAAGCUUGGUUUUACUGACCCACUCAAUUUUGUUUUUCGCCCCUCCAGGUUCUUGAUAGCAGAGUUUUGGUGGCCACGAGGAAUCCAACGGUAUUCUGACAGAAUUCACAAAAGUAGGACUCACCCUCGAGGGUUUCC